rnacentral:rRNA from 1 species
UACGGAGGGGGCUAGCGUUGUUCGGAAUUACUGGGCGUAAAGCGCACGUAGGCGGCUUUGUAAGUUAGAGGUGAAAGCCCAGGGCUUAACUCUAGAAUUGCCUUUAAGACUGCAUCGCUAGAAUCGUGGAGAGGUGAGUGGAAUUCCGAGUGUAGAGGUGAAAUUCGUAGAUAUUCGGAAGAACACCAGUGGCGAAGGCGACUCACUGGACACGUAUUGACGCUGAGGUGCGAAAGCGUGGGGAGCAAACAGG